rnacentral:rRNA from 1 species
AUUGAACGCUGGCGGCAUGCCUUACACAUGCAAGUCGAACGGCAGCACGGGCUUCGGCCUGGUGGCGAGUGGCGAACGGGUGAGUAAUGUAUCGGAACGUACCUUUCAGUGGGGGAUAACGUAGCGAAAGUUGCGCUAAUACCGCAUAUUCUGUGAGCAGGAAAGCAGGGGAUCGCAAGACCUUGCGCUGAUUGAGCGGCCGAUAUCAGAUUAGCUAGUUGGUGAGGUAAAGGCUCACCAAGGCGACGAUCUGUAGCGGGUCUGAGAGGAUGAUCCGCCACACUGGAACUGAGACACGGUCCAGACUCCUACGGGAGGCAGCAGUGGGGAAUUUUGGACAAUGGGCGCAAGCCUGAUCCAGCCAUGCCGCGUGAGUGAAGAAGGCCUUCGGGUUGUAAAGCUCUUUCGGCCGGGAAGAAAUCGCAUGGGUUAAUACCCUGUGCGGAUGACGGUACCGGCACAAGAAGCACCGGCUAACUACGUGCCAGCCGCCGCGGUAACAC